AGCAACUAAUGUCUAUAUAUAAAUAAAACCCCUGAAUUUCGUGACUGGAUUUUUCUAAAUAAAAAAGCAAGAGCACAAGAAUACAUAAGUUUGGGAGUUGCAUGCCAAAAACAAUCUGAAGAACCCAUGAAUACAUACAGUCAAAAGUUCCAUAUGUUGAAAAAACAUUCAGAUGAUGCACUUUGUACCAUCCCGAUCUCAUUCACCUGUCCAGCUGACCACUUCAAUCCACUAGCAUUGAUUAUAUGCUGCUUAUAAAGAUGAACUGAGGUUAUGGUGAAGAACACGCAAAGUUACUUACGCAAUGAGAUGGAUGACCAUGUCUCUCAUCUACAUUUUGAUAGGGCCAAUGUCCUGACAACUCUCAAACCUACUAGUCUGACCAAUUGAAACCAAC
rnacentral:lncRNA from 1 species